UAAAGUGCGUUGAAGGGAAUCAGUAGCGCCCGAGCGACAUCGCUCUAGAGAGCCGGCGGUUGGUGCAAGCCGGUGCGGGGUCGGGCUGCGAAUUACAUCCUGGAGCAUCCGUGUCCGCAACUGCCUGAGGCAGAAGGGCCUGGACGGCAGCCGGCCGUUACCCGGCAGAGCGGAGCAUUCUCGUACUGUACGGGAAGCUCAACAUAGGGUGGUACCGCGAUGACUCGUCCCUGUC
rfam:Paenibacillus sp. D9 Scaffold1, whole genome shotgun sequence.